UGAAUAAAUUUCACACUUAAGGCGCCUUUUUUGCGCCGUAAAUAAAUUCCCACCAAAAUAGCCGGACAAAAAAGGAAAAAGCCCACCAAAAUACUUUCCAACGAAAAAAAUUUCACUCCCCCGCCAAAGUUCCAAAGUAGAUAGGCGGAAAGAAAAAGAAAAAAAAAAAGAAAAAACCCAUUUCAGAGUUUUUCUUCCCUAGAGAAGCUUCAACGAGAGUGUGGAAAGAGAGAGACCCGAAUCUCUCAUCUAUUGAUUUCUUUGGACGAACCGUGUUGAUGGCAGUAAUUUGAGGAAAGAAAGCUUGAUUUCCUAAACUCAUCUUUCUCAGAUUUGACUCCGGACGAUGUCGAUCAUUCCGUUAGCGACCAGCGAAGAGGUUAGGGUUUUCAACCAGCGACCAAAAAUUGAAGUUGAAUCGAGCCACCAUGGACGACGUUUGGACAGAGAAUCAGAGAGAUCUGGGGCAUAUUUUAGAACGCUAUCUUUCUCUCGGUGGGAUUUUGAGAUCGCCUCUCUAGCACCCCUAUCCAUACUACAACAACGUUCACAACCGCCACCAGGAUGUGAUUGAUAGAGAUUUGUGUGAGCAGUUCCUUACAUUGUUGCUGGAUCUGCAACGAAAAAUUGCAGAUGAAUUAGACAUAACUCCAACAAAGAUUUUGAAGAAACUUGAAGAAGUUCGGAAUAAGACCAUUUGAGAAUUAUUAGUCCUAAGUUACUUUCUUGGAUUUUGUACCGUGGAUUUUGCAGCUAUUUCCUUGGAUUUUGUACAGUGAGGUGGUUUUUUGACAAGUGCAGAUUGAAACUCAAGUGCUAGAAGGUUUGUCAAUUUUUCAAUAGAAGUGUUAAGAAAUUGAUGAUUUUCUUGACAAAUGGAUGAACUUUCUGUUUUAGAACAUUGAUAAAUGAUGAAUUGUAAAAAUGUUUUAACUCUUUUGAUAUAUUUAAUGGGAUAUGUAUGUUUUUUGA